rnacentral:snRNA from 1 species
AGCUUUGCACAGUGGCAGUAUCAUAGCCAAUGAAGUUUAUCCAAGGUGCGAUUAUUGCUAAUUGAAAACUUUUCCUAAAAUCUCAGGGCUAGGACGAAUGGAGACAUUACUGAGACCGCUAGAGAAAAUCG